UGCAAGUCGAGCGGUAGAGAGAAGCUUGCUUCUCUUGAGAGCGGCGGACGGGUGAGUAAUGCCUAGGAAUCUGCCUGGUAGUGGGGGAUAACGUUCGGAAACGGACGCUAAUACCGCAUACGUCCUACGGGAGAAAGCAGGGGACCUUCGGGCCUUGCGCUAUCAGAUGAGCCUAGGUCGGAUUAGCUAGUUGGUGAGGUAAUGGCUCACCAAGGCGACGAUCCGUAACUGGUCUGAGAGGAUGAUCAGUCACACUGGAACUGAGACACGGUCCAGACUCCUACGGGAGGCAGCAGUGGGGAAUAUUGGACAAUGGGCGAAAGCCUGAUCCAGCCAUGCCGCGUGUGUGAAGAAGGUCUUCGGAUUGUAAAGCACUUUAAGUUGGGAGGAAGGGCAGUUGCCUAAUACGUAACUGUUUUGACGUUACCGACAGAAUAAGCACCGGCUAACUCUGUGCCAGCAGCCGCGGUAAUACAGAGGGUGCAAGCGUUAAUCGGAAUUACUGGGCGUAAAGCGCGCGUAGGUGGUUUGUUAAGUUGGAUGUGAAAUCCCCGGGCUCAACCUGGGAACUGCAUUCAAAACUGACUGACUAGAGUAUGGUAGAGGGUGGUGGAAUUUCCUGUGUAGCGGUGAAAUGCGUAGAUAUAGGAAGGAACACCAGUGGCGAAGGCGACCACCUGGACUAAUACUGACACUGAGGUGCGAAAGCGUGGGGAGCAAACAGGAUUAGAUACCCUGGUAGUCCACGCCGUAAACGAUGUCAACUAGCCGUUGGAAGCCUUGAGCUUUUAGUGGCGCAGCUAACGCAUUAAGU
rnacentral:rRNA from 1 species